ACGGUCACGUCACUUCCAAACACCGGUUCACGUAUUAUCACCGAAAUUAAACAAGGUCGAACCUGGUCAGUACCAAGAUGGGUGACCACUUUGGAAUACUAGGUGUUGGA